CCUCGGGAGGCCCCUGUGAGCGCAGCCUCCUCCUCUGCGCUGCCCUGGGGAGCAGAAGUGACUCACGCGCGGGGAGACUGACUCAUGAGCUCCAUGGGCGGCAGAGCCCGGCAGGCAGCUUUCAGCUCAAUGCAAGGAAGAAUGUUCUCAUCAUGUAUAAAAUGGAACCUGUUGCCCUCGAAACAGAAGCUCCAGACACGGAGCCCUCCCUUUCUGGUGGCAGCUGGCACUGGGAGAGGAAGUGUGGCAGGGCCCGCUGAGUCACCCUCAUCGCUGCCCUUUGGGGAACCUCACCAGUCUCAAGACUUCCAGUUCUAAGAAGUCCUGCCCUUGGAUUCCGACACUGAGCCCACUAACGUGGGGUGAUGGGGGUGUGCUUCCCCACCAGACCUGGACCUCGUGAUGGUCCGCACCCCACACCGUGGUGGGGUGGGGCCUGGCUGGAUCCCCGUCUCCCCCCCGAGACCGUUUCCAGGAAGGACCUUAGCCCUUUUUCUCCAGCAUUUUACAGUGUUUUUAUUUUUGUUUUUUAAAGAGAAGCAAUUUACAAUGAAACACAGAUUUUAUGUGUGUAUUUGCUCAUCUUUUGACAAAUCUCGUACACUUGUGUAACCCAAACCUCUGUCAAGAUAUAGAGCAUUCCCAUCGCCCAUAAAGUUCCCGUGUGCCCCUUCCCAGUUAAUCCUGGCCCAGGCACAGGUAACCACUGUUUCAGCUUUUCCCACUGUAGAUUAUUUUGCCUGUUCUAGACCUUCGUGUACAUGGAAUUGACAGCGUGUUCUGGUCAGCACGGCGUUGGCUUCAUCCACAGCGGUGCAGGUGUCAGCCCUCCCCUCCCUCCUCCUGAGCAGUGCUGUGUUGCACAUGCUGCAGUGUGUUCAUUCAUUCUCCUGUGGAUGUUUCCAGUUCUCUGUUAUUAUAAAUAAAGCUCCAUGAACAUUCAUGUACAGGUAA